rnacentral:rRNA from 1 species
UACGUAGGGGCCUAGCGUUGUCCGGAAUUAUUGGGCGUAAAGAGCUCGUAGGCGGUUCGGCAAGUCGGAUGUGAAAUCUCCAGGCUCAACCUGGAGGGGUCAUUCGAUACUGCCGUGACUAGAGUUCGGUAGAGGAGACUGGAAUUCCUGGUGUAGCGGUGGAAUGCGCAGAUAUCAGGAGGAACACCGGUGGCGAAGGCGGGACUCUGGGCCGAUACUGACGCUGAGGAGCGAAAGCGUGGGGAGCAAACAGG